AGGUUUACUUCACAAGAAAGAGAGAGAGGGAUUGGCCAGCGAUGAGAGAAAGGGAUUGGCCCCCAGUCCCCAUUCCCCGAUUCUUCUCCCUCUCCCUUGUCGCCGCCGCCGCCACCGGCGACCUCCCUGCAGCCGCCGCCAUCAGCCACGCCCUCCCCAACGGCUGACUCUCCCACCUUUUUUCUUCUCACCAUCAACGACCUCUCCUCCCCCUCGCACCAGAUCGAGCAACAUGUCGGGCAGGGCAGAGCGGAGCGGGGAUGGGAGGAGACGGGCAGACGGUGGCGGCGGCGUCCUCCUCGCCCAUCGGCGCGCAACACCUGUCAGAGCCCCGUCGGCUCCGUCGAUCUGCCAGACCUAGGUCGCCGGUGUGGCUGCUGUCUCAGGCGAGAAGAGGAGUGGUCGCGUUAAGACACGGGGAGGGGGAGCAGCCAACCGUGCUCAAGGCCGUCCGUGGCGGCUGCAAAUCGAGGCGGCGGCUACAAAUUGAAGGUCAGUGCGCGGCGGCCCUCUCUCCUUCUUAUCCCCUCUCGCUCGAGAGAAAGUUGCGGACAUAUUGGCAGUGGCCUGUCCGCGGCGUCGUCCUCAGCCAGAGAAGGGGAGAGGAGGGAGAGGGAGAUGGUGAGUCCACGGAGAAGCGCCACCGGGAGCAGAUCCGGCCAUCGGCGGCAAGAAAGGCCACGCCCCCCUCUACCUCCGUACCGUCACCCAGGGUGUUACUUUUCCUUGGUUGCUCAGUGACUGAAUGAACUGGUGCGCUCUACUAUGGCUGGAAGUAGGCAAGGUGGACUAAUCGCGGGAGCUUCGGCUGCAAUGAUGUUUGCUGGAUUGAAUGGUUACUUGGAAAGUACUGGUCAAAUCAUGGAAGUCUCGAAGAAGAUACUAAAAGAGUAAAAAACUGUUUGAAUAUCGUGCUUGAAAGGUUUCUAAAAAGUACACACCGAUCUGUAUAAGGACUGACGCUAGCAGGGGUUUGCCAUUUUUCCUGAGCAUUUUCCAAAUAAAAAUGUUUCUAUACAAGUUAUAUGUGUCCUUCUCGUAAAUGUGCUGCAACUGGAUCCUUACAAUUCUCUAUUUUUUCAGUUGUACUAACAGUAGUUGUCUGUGCAAAAUGAAGGCCUUUGUGAUGCGGGUUGAGGAGGAAGAUGACUCGGAAGAGGAAGAUCACAGAUCAUGAGCUAUACAAUACUAAUCCAUGGGUUUGCUCCUACUCCCCUCUUCCACCAGAUUUUCCCCAGUGAAUCAUGUAAUGGAGGACCAGUGCUUCAUCGAGUCCAUCCCGCCCCUUGGCACUGCCAUUGGCGUCUUCAACAACCUCGCUGAGUACGACGUAGCAUGCUUCGACGUAUAAAGUAAUUUGUGCCAUCAUCUUUGCCAUCUAUUUAUGUUUAGGACUGUGACAUGUUACUACUAACUGAUUAUGCAUGUUGUUAGUAUAUGAUCUGUACAAGAUCAACGGCUAAAAGGGUGUCUACAUCGCAGUUGAGUUGGAUACCUGAAGCUCGAGGAUUAGGGUGCCGACACAUCGUCGCCAGCCACAGGGUUGUGACACCUUGCUAGGUGCUCGCCAUGUCCUACAUCUCUGUAGGAACACGUCAGGCAGGAGCUCAGGCCCAUAUCCUUGCUCAAGUGCUUCCGAGUGAGGAAGACUGCGAGGGGUUGGACAUGCAAUGGCCUAGCGGAGUCGUCCGCGGCGCGCGGCCGCCGGUAUGGAGGCCCAGGCUCGGGCUUAACUCAGCAAGCUUUGGUGCUUAUUUAUUAAUAAUCAUGGGUUCUGACCAUGUCAGUAGCGUCCCCUUGUCGUCGACGGUGGCUCAGGGAAAUCUAGGAAGGGGGCGAGUCCGUCCCACGGUGUCGCUGUCGGGGAGAACUAAGGGAGCUCCCUGUCUUGGUUUGCAGCAAGUAUGUUCAGCACGCCGCCGCCAGCCACAAGCAUCGCCGUGAGGAGGACAAAAGUGAGAAUGGUACCUUCGACAAAUCAAUCUCAUUCCCCCCUUCUUUGCGACGCAGAUAGAUCACACUAAUUCAACAAGUAUGUCCGAUUUGUUGUUCACAAAUUAAACAUUAAGGCAAUUAGGAUCUGAAUCUUUGAGAUGUUUAGCUUUACAUGUUCAUUAGGGAUUUGUUGUUGCUGAAAGGGAGCAAAAUAGAGGGAAUAUCUUUUUCCAAAAAAAGUUUACAUAUUGAGUUGUACGCCUGUACUUUAGAAUGUAAUCUUGGUAUUCAAACUGCAUCAUACCAUUACUAAAAAGAUUUGGAAUUUAUCUUGUAUGUGAUUGAUUUGUAGGGCUGUAGGCUGGUGAGGUCUAGUUAUAGCACAAUGCUUCAGACUAAUAUCAAAGGAAUAAAUUGAUCAAUAAGUUUCAGCCAUGGUUAGCCUCUCUUGCAAUUUUGUGAUGUCAGGUUUUAGCCAUACUUUUUGUGUCAACGGAUGCAGAUUAGGUUGGUAGCCUACAUCUAUUUCUUUGCAGUUUUUCCGUGUUGUUUGGCUAAUAGUGCUACUCUGUAUCAUCUCCAAACAAGGGUUAGUUAGCUAUCUUUAGCUCUUACAUGCAGCACAAACAUUGCAUGCAUUUGUACAUAUAUAGCAGGAUUUAGAUCCCUUUGUUUUUACAUGGCAGAACUACCACUAUGUGUGUUAUUAGCUUGAUUCACUAUGCGUAGUAUUCCAUCCAUUGUCUCUAUUCAUUGUCUCUCUUCGGUUCUUUCUCUGCGAAAUCUUAAUUUCUGGACUGCAAGUUAGAAUGUGCGAAACUAACUGUUUUCCUUUCUGGUUAGGGUUCUCAUUACUAACCUGCAUUUCUUAAUUUAGUUAUAAUUUUAUCAAUAAUUCAUUGUUCUUAUUCUAUGAUUUGAAGUGUAACAUUGCCAUUUUACUAAUAAUUUCUUGCUGACAUUGUAGUCUGGGGUUGUACUAUCUGUUUGCUUCAUAAAAAAAUAAUAUUGAAAGGUGGUUGGCGGAUAUAUUGAGCUACCUAACAUACCAUGAUGUCAUGAUCUUGCUGUAAACUUAGACCUGGCUAUAUUUAUUUAUUUUUCUAUCAAAUGCUAGAAGUACUGAGAUGUCUGUCAAUUGACAAGGUUCUUAUACUUGUCAAUUUGUAUGCUUUAAGUAGAGUAAUACAGUCUGGCUGAAACAUUACUCACAUUUCAGUUAAGUUUAUUAUGAUCCACUUACUGGGAGAAGAUAUUAUUGUUAUUGUUAGUUGUUACCCGUUUCUAUCUUAUCAUGGAGGGUGUAAGUGGUGACUUGUAUAUAUUCGUCCAUGUUGAAGCAGAACAAGGCAUCCACAGAGAAGGUCUCAAAUUUGUAUUUUGAUAUAAUGAUUGGUUACACUGAUGCAGUUUUAGGAACAAUAGUGAAGGUGAGUUAUCGAAACUCGAAAGAUCGAAACCUUUUUUGACAUGUAAUUGUUGUCCUCAAGUUAGAUCACACAAAACUUACAUGUUGCCUUAUAACUGAAAUAUAUCCUCUGUUAAUUCCAUAAUUGUGCAUUCUUAUUUUGUGCUACAAAGACUCCCACUUAAGCUUAAUCGAGAAAUCAACCUUGUUAUUCAGGUUGAGGCAAUGGAGGGAUUGAAUGAUCUUUAUUAUUAUUUUGCAUAUAACCUUACAUGUUGAGGUUUUUCCUUUGUGUCCUUCGCUAGCUCGUGCGUGUAUGUUAGUGAUGGACAACCACAAAGACUAAAUGCUAAUUGGGUUCUAUUUAUUACUCUGAUCUUGUGGUUUAAAAUGGUUUGUGUAAACCACACUUUGAAUAUUAAGAUAUUCAUGAUGCUAUUAUUUUUUAA